GUGAAUAUGCCCUGCCCCACCUUAACUGAUGACAUUUCACCACAAAAGAAGUGUAAAUGGCCGGUCCUUGCCUUAAGUGAUGACAUUACCUUGUGAAAGUCCUUUUCCUGGCCCAUCCUGGCUCAAAAAGCACCCCCACUGAGCACCUUGCGACCCCCACUCCUGCCCGCCAGAGAGCAAACCCCCUUUGACUGUAAUUUUUCUUUAUCUACCCAAAUCCUAUAAAACGGCCCCACCCUUAUCUCCCUUCGCUGACUCUCUUUUCCGACUCAGCCCGCCUGCAGACCCAUCUGACCUCUCCCCUCCUUGCCAGACUGAGCUAGGUCCCAAUUCUUCCUCAGCCUCUGCUCCUCCACCCUAUAAUCUUUUUAUCGCCUCCCCUCCUCACACCUGGUCCGGCUUACAGUUUUGUUCCGUGACUAGCCCUCCCCCACUUGCCCAGCAAUUUACUCUUAAAAAGGUGGCUAGAGCCAAAGGCAUAGUCAAGGUUAAUGCUCCUUUUUCUUUAUCCCAAAUCUGAUAGCGUUUAGGCUCUUUUUCAUCAAAUAUAAAAAUCCAGCCCAGUUCAUGACUUGCUUGGCAGCAACCCUGAGACACUUUACAGCCCUAGACCCUAAAAAGUCAAAAGGCCGUCUUAUUCUCAAAAUACAUUUUAUUACCCAAUCUGCUCCCGACAUUAAAUAAAACUCCAAAAAUUAAAUUCCGGCCCUCAAACCCCACAACAGGAUUUAAUUAACCUCGCCUUCAAGGUGUACAGUAAUAGAAACAAGUUGCAAUUCCUUGCCUCCACUGUGAGACAAACCCCAGCCACAUCUCCAGCACACAAGAACUUCCAAAUGCCUGAACAGCAGCGGCCAGGUGUUCCUCCAGAACCUCCUCCCACAGGAGCUUGCUACACGUGCCGGAAAUCUGGCCACUGGGCCAAGGAAUGCCCGCAGCCCGGGAUUCCUCCUAAGCCGUGUCCCAUCUGUGUGGGACUCCACUGAAAAUCGGACUGUUCAACUCACCUGGCAGCCACUCCCAGAGCCCCUGGAACUCUGGCCCAAGCCUCUCUGACUGACUCCUUCCCAGGUCUUCUCGGCUUAGCGGCUGAAGACUGACACUGCCGGAUCGCCUCGGAAGCCCCUUAGACCAUCACGGAUGCCGAGCUUCAGGAGCUUGACAUGAUUUCAUAGCCACACCUGGCCAGAAGGGAAAUAUGAUCUGUCAUUGGAUGCCCUACACCCAGAAGCAAGCAGAGAAUAUUACUGGCUAAUAUAUGAAAAGUCAUGAUAUAGGAAAUAAAUGUGGCUACAUGAGAGUCAACCUGCACAUUCCAAAGAAAGGCCUAUCUUCAGGAACGGCCCUCGAUGUACUUUUGGGAAAUGACUUCUGAGCCCUAGGAAUAUUAUGCUUGAUAUCAUUUUGGGGAGAAGUAAUUGCAUUCUCACACGACUCCACUGACUGGGAACACCUGGAAGCUUAUGCCCAUUUUCUCCUGGACUUUGCCCAUGUGCUUUUUUUCCUUUGCUGAUUUUGGUCUGUGUCCUUCUGCUGUAAUAAAUUGUAACUUCUAAUCAAGCCUAACCCAGCUGAGCGUCUCUUGGCACACAAGCUGAAGGGAGAGCAGGUGUUACCAAGUGCAACUCAAGCCAAUGGGAACCAAAGCCAACGGCUCAUCCUGAAAUGGAAAUCACAGCCUGUCUACAGAAUGAACACUAGUGAAGAAAGCAUUAGAGCUACCUCUAUCCAUCGUUUGGUAAUGUGUUUUUCUUUUUUUCCCUUCAGCCCUUCAUUGCAGUUCUGUAUUCCAUCUCUAAGUCAUUUUCAUCAAUGACCUUAAGAUCCUUCUAU